AUACCUUUCUCGGCCUUUUGGCUAAGAUCAAGUGUAGUAUCUGUUCUUAUCAGUUUAAUAUAUGAUACGUAAGCUAUUAGCUCACAUGAUAUUAACUCAUUUUGUUUAAGGGGAAGGCUCAUAGUGCUCAUUAAAGUAGCUUGCUACUUGGGCCUUAAUUUGUCGCCUUGGUAUUGCACUAUUACCUUGGCCUGGCAAACCUCAC
rnacentral:snRNA from 1 species